rnacentral:miRNA from 1 species
CAAGGCCGGAUAUAUGGGAUC